UACGGAGAGUGCAAACGUUGUUCGGAUUCACUGGGCGUAAAGGGCACGUAGGCGGCUCGGCAAAUCGGUCGUGGAAUCUCGACGCUUACCGUCGAAACGGCGGCCGAAAAUACCGGGCUCGAGGGCGUGAGGGGUCACUGGAACUCCUGGUGAAGCGGUGAAAUGCGUAGAUAUCAGGAGGAAGACCAGUGGCGAAGGCGGGUCUCUGGACAGUUCCUGACACUGAGGCACGAAGGCCAGGGGAGCAAACGGG
rnacentral:rRNA from 1 species